rnacentral:rRNA from 1 species
CACGUAGGCACCAAGCGUUGUCCGGAUUUAUUGGGCGUAAAGAGCUCGUAGGCGGUUUGUUGCGUCGGCUGUGAAAUCCCGAGGCUCAACCUCGGGUCUGCAGUCGAUACGAGCAAACUAGAGUGUUGCAGGGGAGACUGGAAUUCCUGGUGUAGCGGUGAAAUGCGCAGAUAUCAGGAGGAACACCGGUGGCGAAGGCGGGUCUCUGGGCAACAACUGACGCUGAGGAGCGAAAGCGUGGGGGAGCGAACAGG